rnacentral:rRNA from 1 species
CGGAGGAUCCGAGCGUUAUCCGGAUUUAUUGGGUUUAAAGGGUGCGCAGGCGGGAGAUUAAGUCGGCGGUGAAAUUUUGCAGCUCAACUGUAAAAGUGCCUUCGAAACUGGUUUCCUUGAGUGUGGAUGAAGUAGGCGGAAUUUGUGGUGUAGCGGUGAAAUGCAUAGAUAUCACGAGGAACUCCGAUUGCGCAGGCAGCUUACUAAACUACUACUGACGCUCAGGCACGAAGGCGUGGGGAUCAAACAGGAUUAGAUACCCUGGUA